AUUCUACUCCCUCAGUUGCACAAUACAUGCCUUCUAUUUGUCAAAAUAUAUAUGUAUCUAGACAUGUUUUAGUAUAUAGGUACAUCCAUUUUUGGACAAAUGGAAGUCAAGUAUUUUGGAACGGAGGGAGUACACA
rnacentral:pre_miRNA from 1 species